AAAAGAAUCAUUCAAAAAUAUGAAGUACACAAAAAAUGAUAAAUAAAAUAAAAAAAGUGUACAUUCCUGCCGAAAAAAAUACGGUAAUCUGGCAGUGAUUUUAAAAAAUUUAUUUCUCUCAAUUGGCUUACUGUUUUUAAUUGAUUCCAGUGCCAUUAUUGAGUUAACAUCUUGAAGUUUCUGUGGUAUAAAUUUCAUAAUCCAGUUCGCUCUACAACGUUCCAGUUAAAUCAGUGAAUAUCAAACACAGUU
rnacentral:lncRNA from 1 species